UGUGUCCUAUGGGAGGCAGCAGUAGGGAAUCUUCCACAAUGGACGAAAGUCUGAUGGAGCAACGCCGCGUGAGUGAAGAAGGGUUUCGGCUCGUAAAGCUCUGUUGGGAGUGAAGAAAGAUAGAGGUAGUAACUGGCCUUUAUUUGACGGUAAUUACUUAGAAAGUCAAGGCUAACUACGUGCCAGCAGCCGCGGUAAUACGCAGGUGGGAAGCGGUGUCCGGAAUUAUUGGGCGUAAAGCGAGUGCAGGCGGGGGAAUAAGGCGG
rnacentral:rRNA from 1 species